GAUGGACGCUAGCGGGAGGCCUAACACAUGCAAGCCGAGCGGUAUUGUUUCUUCGGCAAUGAGAGAGCGGCGUACGGGUGCGUAACACGUGUGCAACCUGCCUUUAUCUGGGGGAUAGCCUUUCGAAAGGAAGAUUAAUACUCCAUAAUAUAUUGAACGGCAUCGUUUAAUAUUGAAAGCUCCGGCGGAUAGAGAUGGGCACGCGCAAGAUUAGCUAGUUGGUGAGGUAACGGCUCACCAAGGCGAUGAUCUUUAGGGGGCCUGAGAGGGUGAUCCCCCACACUGGUACUGAGACACGGACCAGAAUCCUACGGGAGGCAGCAGUGAGGAAUAUUAGUCAAUGGGUGCAAGCCUGAACCAGCCAUCCCGCGUGAAGGACGCCUGCCCUAUGGGUUGUAAACUUCUUUUGUAUAGGGAUAAACCUACCCUCGAGAGGGUAGCUGAAGGUACUAUACGAAUAAGCACCGGCUAACUCCGUG
rnacentral:rRNA from 1 species